rnacentral:rRNA from 1 species
GAUGAACGCUGGCGGCGUGCUUAAUACAUGCAAGUCGAACGGAAAGGCGCUGCUUUUGUGGCUUGCUCGUGUGGCGCACGGGUGAGUAACACACGAGUAACACGUCCUUGUAUUUGGGGUAAAUUCUGGAAAAUCGGGAUAAUAUACGAUAGAAGCUACUGCUGCAUGUGGGUCAUUGGUAAAAUUCGGCGGUUCGGGAUUGUAUCGCUGGUUAUCAGCUUGUUGGUGGGGUUGUGGCUUACCAAGGCUUUGACGGGUAGCCGGCCUGAGAGGGUGACCGGCCACAUUGGGACUGAGAUACGGCCCAGACUCCUACGGGAGGCAGCAGUGGGGAAUAUUGCACAAUGGGCGGAAGCCUGAUGCAGCAACGCCGCGUGCGGGAUGACGGCCUUCGAGUUGUAAACCGCUUUCGCCUGUGACGAAGCGUGAGUGACGGUAAUGGGUAAAGAAGCACCGGCUAACUACGUG